rnacentral:rRNA from 1 species
UGGGGAAUAUUGCACAAUGGGCGCAAGCCUGAUGCAGCCAUGCCGCGUGUAUGAAGAAGGCCUUCGGGUUGUAAAGUACUUUCAGCGGGGAGGAAGGCGAUAAGGUUAAUAACCUUGUCGAUUGACGUUACCCGCAGAAGAAGCACCGGCUAACUCCGUGCCAGCAGCCGCGGUAAUACGGAGGGGGCAAGCGUUAACCGGAAUUACUGGGCGUAAAGCGCACGCAGGCGGUCUGUCAAGUCGGAUGUGAAAUCCCCGGGCUCAACCUGGGAACUGCAUUCGAAACUGGCAGGCUAGAGUCUUGUAGAGGGGGGUAGAAUUCCAGGUGUAGCGGUGAAAUGCGUAGAGAUCUGGAGGAAUACCGGUGGCGAAGGCGGCCCCCUGGACAAAGACUGACGCUCAGGUGCGAAAGCGUGGGGAGCAAACA